rnacentral:rRNA from 1 species
UACGGAGGGUGCGAGCGUUGUCCGGAAUCACUUGGCGUAAAGGGCGCGUAGGCGGCCUGAUAAGUAGGGGGUGAAAUCCUGCGGCUUAACCGCAGGGCUGCCUUCUAAACUGUCAGGCUGGAGCACAGUAGAGGCAGGUGGAAUUCCCGGUGUAGCGGUGGAAUGCGUAGAGAUGUGGAGGAAUACCGAUGGCGAAGGCAGCCCCCUGGGAUAACACUGACGCUCAUGCACGAAAGCGUGGGGAGCAAACAGG